rnacentral:rRNA from 1 species
AUUCCAGCCCUCGGGCNCACCAGCGCGANNNCUUNACAACCAGAANCUGUAUAAGGANCCCCGAGUGCCGUAUACGCGGGCUGUCCAGGUGUUUAAAACGCAUNUNAAGAAAGGUCCGGCAAGACCGGUGCCAGCCACCNCGGUAAUNCCGGCGGCUNGAGUGGUGGCCACUUUUAUUGGGNUUAAAGCGUCCGUAGCUGGACCCUUAAGUCUCUUGGGAAAUCCNCCGGNUUAACCGGCGGGCGUCUAANAGAUACUGGGGGUNUAGGGACCGGGAGAGGUGAGAGGUACUCCGGGGGUAGGAGUGAAAUCCUGUAAUCCCUGGGGGACCACCUAUGGCGAAGGCAUCUCNCCAGANCGGCUCCGACAGUGAGGGACGAAAGCUGGGGGAGCGAACCGGAUUAGAUACCCGGGUAGUCCCANCCGUAAACUAUGCGCGUUAGGUGUACUGGUGACCNCGAGUCACCGGGGUGCCGAAGGGAAACCGUGAAACGUNCCGCCUGGGAAGUACGGUCGCAAGGNUGAAACUCAAAGGAAUUGACGGGG